ensembl:lncRNA
AGAGUAUGGCUAUAACGUAACAAAUAGUGGAAAAAGUAAAGAACUCUGAAUACUUUCCGAAUGCAGUGUAACUCCCACCGACUACAAUUCCAGAUUGUCCUGGUUGUAUUUACUCAGUGUCUCUAUUGCUUUGGUAUUUCAGAUAACAAUGAUGCUAGUUUACCACCCUGCAUGGAUGAGAAUGAGCCAAGUGUCUCAGAUGACUCCAUCACCAUGGGCUACAGGCUGCAGGACCUCACUGACAUCCAGGUCAUGGCUCGCAUGCAGGAGAAGAGUUUAAGACAAGACUAUUCCUCCAUCCCUGCUGCUGCCACACCAUUCAGGAGUGUUGGUACAGCCAUGCUGUCACCUUGUAAUUAUGGCUACAGUGAUCUGGAGUUCGACAAGUAUAGUCUGGAGAACACAGUCGCAUACACAACUCCUCCCAGCCAGCUGCCCCACUACCGGCCCUCCCCAUUGGGCCAGUCAUCCAGAUCCAUAGCCCAGCCUGGUCACAGCAGCCAGCUGCCAAGGCUUCCCAGUCAGGCCACCACUCAAUCUAAGCUGCUUAAACUCGCAAAGAGAAUAGGUAAAAAGAGCGCCUGAAUAGAAAAUUAAAUUUGACACACAAAUUCACAUAUUGACUUUUACUUGAAAACAAAAAAAAAUCGACACUACCAGUUUAACAUGAUCUGCUAUGUGUGUUUGACCGAUUGUAUAUGUGAAAUGGGAGUUGACCCAGAUGUAGGUUGUUGUUGUUGUAGAGGAGCUGAAAAGCUGCAUGCAAAACAUCCUGGAGGCUAACGGCCAGCUCCCCACAAACCAGCCCACCUCCCGCCUGACCCCUAUCGCUGGUUCAACCAGAUCUCCACCUGGUGGGUUAGUAUUUUAGUAGGGAGAGCAUAUACUAAACCAUAAUGUCUAUACACACCAUCAUGUACAUAUAUAUUUCGGACUAUGACAUUGUUUAUUCUGAUAUUUUUGGGAUAUUGUUAGGUAUUACUGCACUGUUGGAGCUAGAAACUGAAGCAUUUCACUGCACCUGCGAUAACAUCUGCAAAAUAUGUGUACACGACCAAUAAAAUUUGAUUGCAUCUCAGCAAGCGUAUAGAAAUCCAUAGGAAUUGAAUUUUGUACUUGCUUUUAUUUCAUACACAUGUUUAGGCCAUAAUUCCAAACUUAUGAUUACCUCCUACAGUAGGUGCGUCUUCAGUCAAGCUUGGGAGUGGUGGCCGAUCUUCAUUUGUCCCUACCAAAACCCUGAGCUCCAGUGACCCUGCGACUGAAGCAGUACGCCAGUCCCUGAGAGAAUGAUUUCAGUCCUCUUCCAUCAGAGGGCUGCAGAGACCCCAGUCCCUUAGCCCCGCUGGUUUGAGGAACCCCUGUCCCAGUAAGGACCUCUCAGUUGGAGAGUACCUGUCAAGUCAUGGUCGUGUCUAUGCCUCCCCUGAGAGAUCCACUACCCUGGCUUGGGACAGAAUGGGGCAGCCUGCCAAUGCACGUAGGCAAAACGGUGUACUCAACAUUCCUUAGUAAUCUGUAACUAAUGUAUUAAAGUACAUUAAACAGUAGGUUUGAUUUCUGUGCAUUUCAAUUGAGUUGUCAUUUUCUUCUGCCAAUCAUACAGUACUGAUUUAUUUAGUAUGGCUUCACAAUCUCUUCCACUGGAACUGGACACAUCCCUCCUUUCUCAGUUAUAAAUGCAAGGUGCUGCACAAUGCUACAUUCCAAACGACCUCCAACAAAUCAAUCUUAAUUUGAUUCAAAUGUUUUGAUUUGACACACAAAUCCACAUACUUAGAACUGAUACAGUAUAUCAUUAUUAACAUAAAGUAUCACACAGGUCUCGGUCAUAAAACACCAUCCUUUUCUUCAUACUACUUUUACACUGGUUUACAUGUAAAUGUCUUCCUCAAUCACUCCAGUACCCCUGCACAUUGAAAUAAUGGUACUGGCACUGCACUGACCUGUAUAUAAAACCUGUAUAUAACUGCAUUCUCGUGUUUCAUUUUUUUCUUAUCUCCAUUUCACUUGUUUUAUUUCUUAACUAUUUUACUAUAUCUAUUGUGCAUUAUUGGAAAAGAGCUCACAAGUUAAGCACUGUACUGUUUUACACCUACUAUAUUCUGUGCAUGUGACAAAAAUUGUAACAAUUUAUACCACAACAUGUUUCAGUUGAAAAGUCAGAAUUUAACACUGAGGACAGUUACAAUAUUGGGCAGAGGAGCUCCAACUUCAGAUAGUCUUGGCAAUUUGUUGCAAAGUGAGUGAGCAGUUGUGGUAUACACUGCACUUCCACCUAUACUUAGUACAUACAGACAUAUGUUUAAGAUUUCUAAACUUUACAAUAGUUACAUGACGUAUGUCUAGUUGUAGAGACAGGGACCAGCAGUUUUGGAAUAAAAUAUUGAAGACUGAGCGCAGUCUACUCCCCCACCGCCCCCACCCUUCCGAGCUAUCAGGGAGCUACGUGAUUGGUCCAGGCCUGAAAACAGCCUUAAGGAUCUAGAAUGUUGUACAGGCCUCUCAUUUGCACCAUGAGAAAUAUAACCUAAUUUAAUAAGAAGACUGCGGAAAGACUGUUCGAACCCGAAAAGUGUAAUUUAAAAAAGACACCAGUGACUUGGUUUGGUAAGUAUGUACUACGUUUAAUGCAAUAUGACAACGGGCCUCCACCCCAGUCGAAAAAAACAACAAUGGUGGCUAGCUAGCCAAGCUAAUUAACGGCAUAGCUAGCUCGGAAAUAUAUCGUGACUUUUGCAAGCCGAUGUUCAUUUGUGUUUUCUUUCAGUGCAUACUUUCUAAAGUAUAUACACAGUUGUGGGUUUACUGCGUUUAUUUUACUAAUAAUAUUGAUUACAAUUGCUGGGAAUGCUAUUGCUAACUAGUUAGCUCGCUAAUUUAGCACAGAACAGAAAAACAUUUGCAGAGCGUCAGUAUUGCACACUUGUUGGAUCCCUGAAAAAAAUCAUAGAUUCGAUGUAUGCUUAAAUAUCAUUUAGCAUGUUAUUCAUGCGUAUUCAUUAUUUUUGCUACAUUCACCUGCGCGCUCGAGCUAUACGUCAUUGUUGGCGGGGUUAUGUGCCCACAAUGUAAACAGAAGCCGCCAUAUUUAUUGCGUCUGGGCGCUCUCUCUGCUGUCUGUCAGUGGGUUGUAACUAGAUGGAGUACAGCUACGACCGGAAGGGACUUUUCCUAGCAGGUUGUAGCUAACCAUUUUCCUAACAUUAACCUAAUUCUCCUAACCUGACACGUUAAUUAUUCUAACCUGCUACGAAGAAGUCACUUCCAGUCGUAGCUAUAUAACACCUAGUCAAAAUUAACUUAAGCAGCAGGUUAUGAAAAUUAACGUAGAGGUUAGUAGAAUUAGGUUAAGAAAAAUAGUUAUGGUCGCGUGGAAAUUCUUACACAGGGACACUUGAAUGAUUUAGCAUAAUUAAUUGAUCAUUACCGUUUCAUUCAUGUGACUGACCAAUACUGGUUCAUAACAUGUGACAGAGCAUUACCUCACAAGGCUUCUUCUCUCUAAGCUGAGACCUGGAAAUUGAGAUCUCUUUCUCAAAACAAUGUCUGGGUGUACUGCCAAAUUGCAGAUACUGAUAGGUGAGGAUUCGUUAAAUCAGUCACUUGCAUUAACACAGAAAUUGGUUAUUAGAACAAUACAUGAAUAGACCACAGGUAUUAAUUAUCAGAAAAGCACAAACAUUAAAAUUCCCAUUAUAAGGGUUAGCUAAAAUGUUCUCCUAACCUGCUUCGAAAUGUUAACUUCCGUUCGUAGCUGUACUCCAUGUAGUACCAACCCAGUCAGUGGGCUACUGCAAGACUGUCAAAGCACUGUAACUACAGUGGUUACAAAGUGGCAUUGAUUCAUUACUGUCACCCACAACAAAGUUCAAAUUCUGGUACGUUAUCAAAUCCUGGAAGUAUGUUUUUUUUUUUCUUCAUGUGAACUCCAGAAAUAUCACAACUCAACCUAUCCAAACGUUGUACAUCACCUGUGAGAAUGUAUGAAUAUAAACAUGAUGUUGUAGAUUUUUGCUUCCCAUUAAAUUUAGCAAUGCAUCAUCAACCACAUUACUUCUGCAUUUAUCGGAUAGUUGACCCUUUCUCCUUAUAAUAUAAGAUAUUAUAAAGGCCCAUCCAAUCUUAUAAAAAGUAAUCAAGCAUUAUAGCUGUCUGCUUUAUUUCCACAAAAAAAAAAAAAUUCAGGAUAAUAUAAUGGAAACUGAUUUAUCGGCUGUGUUUUCCUUUUCUCUAUUUCAAGUGUCUUCUCCCUUGCUGAUGACAACAACAAAAAAGCAUAACACUUCACUGAUGGUUUGAGAGCUCAGCAUCAAUUAUGAAUGCUGAAAUGCAAUGUGUUUUUAAUCUUAACAUUUAGUAAUUUUAUGUCAAUGUUUAUUCAGCAUUGAUUACAGCAUUGAUGAAGAUCAAUCUGUUGAUUAUUUAAUUGAAUCAAGUGUGUUGACACAUUUGUAUUGAUUUAUGCAUUGACAGAGGUCCUGAUUGAUCAGAUAAAAUGAGAUCAACUUAAUCCU